AAAGGAAAGAAAUAUGAUUCAGAGGCUGGUGAAAUAUAGAGAUUCCGAGGUUAUAAAUCAAGACCCAGAAACUGCUCUCUGUACUCCAGUGGACAGGAGCUCUCAGUACAGAAGAAUGCUCAAUACUGUUUGCAUUGUUCACUGAUCAUGAAGAACUUCAAGAUACAAGUAAACUGUGAAGCGUGCACAAGACAGCCGUGCAGUGGACAAAGGCCAAUAUCAAAGCCAUCGGAGACUUUCAUGUGCCUACAGCAAAUGCUUUGUUGACCUGGUGUUCUUACCAUGCAAAGUGUCCUGAGACGCUAGUGGCGCCUCGUCCAGCCCAGACACUGAAGGGGACCCAGAGCUCCACUGCUGCAUGUAUUUUCCUGAGGAGUUUAAAGUGUGGUAGAACCAACUGUCUCCCGGUCAUUUAUGUGUAAUUUGAUUCAAUCUGAGAAAACCAGCCAAGAAAAAUCCAUGCAAAUAGCCAGCGCCAUGAAGAACGAAGUAAACAAGCCAGUCUCCAGUAACUGAGUCUAUUUCUUGUACA
rnacentral:lncRNA from 1 species